UACGGGGGGGGCGAGCGUUGUUCGGAAUUACUGGGCGUAAAGGGCGCGUAGGCGGUUGGAUAAGUCAGCUGUGAAAACCACGAGCUCAACUUGUGGCCUGCAGUUGAGACUGUCUGGCUAGAGUGUGGGAGAGGGAAGUGGAAUUCCUGGUGUAGCGGUGAAAAGCGUAGAUAUCAGGAGGAACACCGGCGGCGAAGGCGGCUUCCUGGACCACAACUGACGCUGAGGCGCGAAAGCUAGGGGAGCAAACAGG
rnacentral:rRNA from 1 species